rnacentral:lncRNA from 1 species
AUCCCAUUCCCAUUAUCCCACUGCUCCCAUUCUCGCUCUCCCAUUCCCGCAGUGAGUGACCCCGAUAUCCCGAUCCCAUUCCCGCCAUCCCAUUCCUGCAGUGAGCGACCCCGCUAUCCCAUUCCCGCCAGCCCAUUCCCAAUCCCACUGAUCCCAUUCCCGCUCCUGUUCCGGCAGUGAGCGACCCCGAUAUCCCAUUCUCGCUAUCCCAUUCCCAAUAUCCCAUUCUCGCUAUCCCGCUCUCCCAUUCCCGCUAUCCCAUGAUCUCACCGAUCCCAUUCCCACUGAUCCCAUGAUCCUGCGAUCCCAUCCGGGCAGUGAGCGACCCCCUAUCCCAUUCCCGCUAUUCCGAUAUCCCAUUCCCAUUCCUGCUAUCCCACUGAUCCCAUUAUCACGCUAUCCCAUGAUUCCACCAAUCCCAUGAUCCCACCGAUGCCAUUCCCACUGAUCCCAUUCCCGCUAUCCCAUGAUCCCACCGAUGCCAUUCCCACCGAUCCCAUUCCUGCUAUCCCAUGAUCCCAUUAUCCCAUGAUCCCACUGAUGCCAUUCCCGCUAUCCCAUGAUCCCCCCGAUUCCAUUCCCACUGAUCCCGGUAUCCCGCUAUCCCCCCGAUCCCAUGAUCCCGCUAUCCCAUGACCCCACUAUCCCACCAAUCCCAUGAUCCCGCUAUCCCAUGAUCCCCCUGAUUCCAUUCCCACUGAUCCCGGUAUCCCGCUAUCCCACCGAUCCCAUGAUCCCGCUAUCCCAUGAUCCCCCCGAUGCCAUUCCCACGAUCCCGGUAUCCCGUUCCGGGCAGUGAGCGACCCGUCGGUCCCGUACGUGGGCACGGAGCCCUGGAGCCCGCCCGAGGCGCUGCAGCCGGGCGGGGCCAUCUCGGACCGCGCCGACGUCUUCGCCUUCGGCCUCACGCUCUGGGAGAUGCUGGCCCUGAGCGUGCCCCACCUGCCCCCGCCGCCCCAGGGCGGCUCCGACGGUACCGGGAAUGCCGGGAAUUCCGCGAGCUAUGGGAGGGAACGGGCGCCGGGAAGGGAUGCAGGGAAGGAUCGGGUGGGAAAGGAGAGCUGGGAUUUGGGAAAGGGCUGGAGGGAGCCAGGGAAUGGCUUCCCGUGGGAAAGGGGAGCUUGGGAUGGUGGGAUCUUGGGAAGGGAUUCCUGGCUGGGCUGGGAUUCCCAGAGAAUCCCUGGAUCCCUGGGAGUGUCCCAGGGUGGGUUUGGAUCAGCCUGGGAUGGUGGGAAGUGUCCCUGGGAUGGGAUUGAAGGUCCAUGGAUCCCAUCCCAAACCGGGAUUCUGGGAUCGAGGACACUCAGGAUCCAUCCCCAGGGAUUUGUAUGGAAUUUGGGGAUGGAGAAGGGAAGGGAGACCCUGCCUGGAGUCCCCACUUCCCAGGGAAGCCCCUGGAUCCCAAAAUUCCAUCCCAGGGAUGACUUGGGAUGGGGCUGGAUGCAACGCCAGGAGAGCCAGAGAGGGAUUUGGGAAAAGGGCCUGGAAUNNNNNNNNNNNNNNNNNNNNGGGAUUUCGCACUGGGAAUGGCGGGAUAAUGCACUGGGAACGGGGGGAUUUCACACCGGGAAUGCUGGGAUAAUGCACCGGGAAUGGGGGGAUAACACAGCACAGGGAACGCUGGGAUAACGCACUGGGAAUGCUGGGAUAACACAGUGGGAAUGGCGAGAGAACACAGCAGGAAUGGCGGGAUAACACACUGGGAACGCUGGGAUAAUGCACAGGGAGGGGAUGGCGGGAUAACACACAGGGAAUGUCAGGAUAACGCACAGGGAAUGGCGGGAUAAUGCACAGGGAAUGGUGAGACAACACACAGGGAAUGGCGGGAUAACGCACAGGGAAUGGCGGGAUAACGCACUGGGAAUGGCAGGAUAACAGAGCAGGAAUGCUGGGAUAACGGAGCCCUGAGAGCCCAGGAUAACUGAGUGGGAAUUCUGGGAUUAUGGAGCCAGGAUUCCCAGGAAAAUGGAGCUGCAGUUCACAGGCUUAUGGAGCCCAGCAUUCCCGGCAUUCCAGAACCUUGGCCCUCCUGGAAUUCCAGUGGGAUGUGACUCUGGAGCCUGGCAUUCCAGAGUUUAACAUUCCCAGAGCCCCAGCAUUCCCAGAAUAUCAGAUCCAUGACAUUCCCAGAUUUUCACAGCCCUGACAUCCCUGGAAUUCCAGAGCCCAGCAUUCCUGAGAUUCCAGAGCCCGGGCAUUCCCAGAUUUCCACACCCCUGACAUUCCCAGAAUUCCACUGCCCUGACAUUCCCAGAUUCCCAGCAGGAGGUGAUUCCCGACAUUCCCGGAUUUCCCUUUUUUGCUGGAGUUUCCCUCUUUUAGGGCAGCUUUUCCCUCCUUUUCCAGUUGGAUUUUCCCUCUUUUUCGGGCCGGAAUUUCCCAAGGUUCCAGGUUGGAUUCUCCCUUGUUGGGGGUUGGAUUUUCCCAAGUUUUUUUUUCCCGGAUUUUUCCCUCUUUUUUGGGGCUCAGAUUUUCCCUCCUUCCUCGUUUGGAUUUUCCCGAGUUUUUUUGGGUUGGAAUUUCUCGAGUUUUCCCCAUGGAUUUUCCCGGAUUUUCCCUCGGGAACAUUCCCAAUAAAUCCACGUGUUCCUCUCUCUGGCA